GACGAACGCUGGCGGCGUGCUUAACACAUGCAAGUCGAACGGAAAGGCCCUGCUUUUGUGGGGUGCUCGAGUGGCGAACGGGUGAGUAACACGUGAGUAACCUGCCCUUGACUUUGGGAUAACUUCAGGAAACUGGGGCUAAUACCGGAUAGGAGCUCCUGCUGCAUGGUGGGGGUUGGAAAGUUUCGGCGGUUGGGGAUGGACUCGCGGCUUAUCAGCUUGUUGGUGGGGUAGUGGCUUACCAAGGCUUUGACGGGUAGCCGGCCUGAGAGGGUGACCGGCCACAUUGGGACUGAGAUACGGCCCGGACUCCUACGGGAGGCAGCAGUGGGGAAUAUUGCACAAUGGGAGGAAGCCUGAUGCAGCAACGCCGCGUGCGGGAUGACGGCCUUCGGGUUGUAAACCGCUUUCGCCUGUGACGAAGCGUGAGUGACGGUAAUGGGUAAAGAAGCACCGGCUAACUACGUG
rnacentral:rRNA from 1 species